ensembl:lncRNA
AUGAAUAUCACUGCCCUAGCCCGCAAGGACUUUUUCCUGUUGGAGUAUGUGGUUGAGUUCAGCCAGCUCGCCAUUUUAAUGGCGUUCGAUGACGCUGCACUGAACUCACUGUUCUGGAUCAGGGCAAAUUACUGUCAUCCCGUUGACCUCCCAGACACCUCUGGACUGAGCUGGAGGGAUGUCAUUAUCCGGUGUCUGGAGAAUGUCUAUCCCCAAUUCAGACCACAGCCAGACCCAGGGCCUAGCCUACCAUCUCCCCACUUUGUGGAGCGCAAGCCAGAGUCCACCACUGACGGUGAGCCAGAACCUGUCUCGACCGAUGAGCCAUCGCCAAUGAGUGCAACAGAGCUGAGGAUCGUCAGACCAGACUGCAGUCAAAUAUAACACUUCGAGCGGCGGUAGAACCAACGUUUUGGAUGGCCACCUACUGUAUAUACACAGAAAAGAUACAAGAUGGGGGAAAAACUGUUCUGGAUCAUUACAUGAAAAUUGAAAUGCAUUAUUAUUUUGACUCAAACAUCAGCUAGUUCAGGAGUGAAUUUCCCAUCUUCAGCUGCUAAAACCUCACUGUCUGUUGAAGACAAAUUAUACCAAACUUAAUACCACAUUCUUUCCUCCAGCAAUAACAACAUUCACUACAGAAAGUUUUGGUUUAUCACAUGUACCAAAAUUGAUGGAUGGGACAUUCUCAAGAAAAGUACUCACAUAAUAAUGCUACAGCUUUAUCUUUGCUAGCAUUUCAUUUAAAAGUGUUUUUUUUUCCCUCCCAAAUGUUUAGAAAACAUAUUUAAAAAUGCAAAUGCAAAAUUGUUUAAUAAAAACUAAAAACCACUCA